AGCACCUAAAAGUAUGUAACAUGUAUAUAUAAUAAGUAUAUUUCAUUUAUUUGUUGCUAUUUAAUAAAUCCUAUUCAUACCUCUAACUUUUUUCUUUAAUGUCUAUUAAAGGAGAUGUGGCUGAAGGAGCAGGUGUUGGAUGCGGUGCGCCUAAAAGGAAUUCAGGAGACAAUCGCAGGAUUUCUUAAUGACCAAGUCCUGGAUUCCGGCGGCGAGUGCUAUUUCAACCCUCAGGAGCAGAUGAAACCAAAUAACGAUGAUCAUUUGUACGAUGCUUGAGUGGUGGAGAAAAAUUGUGUUGUAAAUACUUUGUCCGUGAAGCAUAUGUGUAAAUAUUUUAUUAUGGACCUAUAGAUAUAAUUAUUUAUAUAUAUAUAGUGUUUUAUAGUAUAUUUAUAUGUUAUCCUUUAAAUUAUAUAAAUUAUAUAGGUGCGCGUUCCAUAAACUACCAGCAAACAAUACGCAUUCGAAAAUAACAAUAACAUAAUUGUAAACCCUAAAUAGAAAACCAAAUGAAAAGAAAAAGAAAAAAGAAAUAAGAAAAAAAAGUCUUUAGUCCCGGUUGGUAACAACAACCGGGACUAAAAGAGGAGGCCAGGUGGCACACCCUGGCGCACCUUUUAGUCCCGGUUUCUGUUACCAACCGGGACUAAAGGUGGACCUUUAGUCCCGGUCCACGGAACCGGGACUAAAGGUGGGACAUUUAGUCCCGAAACCUUAACCCCGGUUCCGUAGCCGGGACUAAAGGCGCUUACGGCCAUUCCCUGUACUGGUGUUUACAUAGUUGCCGUAUCGUCAUAUCCUUAUUUUUGGAAAAUGCCGUAUCGCUUUAUCCACAUCCAUUGGUCAAAGCCCCCACGCAUGAACUGUCCCAUCCUGGCAUCAUAUUUGCAGAAUUAUUUCAGUGCAUUGUUGCUUGCACGUACAACCUCUCAGGAUCUCUGAUUUCAAGAUCCGUUGGGUACUAGCAAGAAAAUAAGUUAGCCAUGGUCCGGCCUUGCAAGCAAUGCCUGAAACAAACCAAUCAUCUCUCUUUGACCUCAAGAUAUGACAGAUCCCGCUCGUCACACCUCCUUGAUCAUAUUGAUGAUCGAUCACUACUACUAAUAGUUGGCCGGCAGUCGUCAUGAACCACCUGGUUUGACCACCAAGUUGAGUUCGAUCGUCUCGCUAGCUCGCCACCGUGGUGAAUUAUUUAAGUUGUCCGUGGAUGUACUCGAAGGAAUGAUUAGAAUGCACAACACAGCUGGAUCCCUCUACUUUAUUCACGUACAAACAACUCUAGUUGCUGUAGUCUACCUACAGCAUAACAAAAGCUACGAUUUGAUUUCAAGAUCGAAUACUAUAUACUAGCUAGUAUUAUAAAUAACAAGUUGGUCGUGUAUAUAUAUGAUUAUCGUCAUCAGUUAUUAAUUACUAGGGCAUCAUUAUAUCCCUGCGCUCUCCGCCUAUAAAUAGUGCCCCCAACAGGCUGCAAACGAUCACAGGUUGCAGUGCCACAGUUCCAGGCAGGAGAUCUGAGACAUAAGCUCUAGCUACCUGCAGUCUGACGCUAGCUAUCAAGCUAUCUGUUGUGCUGCAUAGGAGUACGACGUGGUAGCUAGCCAUGGUGAAGAAAGUGGCCGUGCUGGCGACGUUGCUGGCCCUCAACCUCCUUUUGUUUGGCUUCGCGGACGCAUGCGGAUAUGAUGGGGGCGGGAGCGGAGGCACCGGUGGGAGCGGCACUAGCGGAGGUGGUAGUGGCAGUGGCGGCACCAGUGGAGGCGGCAGCGGAGGAGGUGGAAGCGGUGGAGGCGGCAGUGGAGGGGGUGGGAACGGAGGCGCCGGAGGGAGCAGUGGGGGCGGCAGCAUCGGAGGUGGUAGUGGCGGACGUGGCAGCGGUGGAGGUGGAAGUGGAGCAGGUGGCAGCGGUGGAGGUGGCAGUGGAGCAGGUGGGAAUGGAGGAGGAGCGGGUGGGAGCGGUGGAGGCGGCAGCGGAAGUGGUGGUAGCGGCAGCGGAGGCGGUGGUAGCGGAAGCGGAGGCGGCGGGGCACUCGAGCGUUGCCCCAUGGACACACUGAAGUUAGGUGUGUGCGCCAACGUGCUGAAUGGGCUGAUCAACGUGACCCUGGGGACACCGCCCAAGACGCCAUGCUGCACAUUGAUCCAGGGGCUGGCAGACCUAGAGGCGGCGGUGUGCCUCUGCACCGCGCUCAAGGCCAACAUCCUGGGGAUUAACCUCAAUCUGCCCAUCAACCUCAGCCUCCUCGUCAACUACUGCGGCAAGGACGUCCCCUCGGGCUUCCAGUGCUCCUGAAGAGCCAUGAUCCAUCCAAUCAAGUCUUCAUGAAAAUUCAUAUUUAUCAUGUAUUUUUCAUCUAUUACUCGUGUUUUCAUGUAUUUUUUGUAAAAACACUAUCAGUCAUAGUGCUGCUAUAGCAGCGCUAUAGCUACACACCUGCUGAAAAAAGUUGCCGCUAUUUAUAAUAGCCCGCUUUUUUAAACUUUGUACCAUAGAGCAGCUCCACCAGAUCAGAGGUGGAGCAGACGCCGGUCGGUAGGAUCCCAACGGGCGGAUGACACCGGAGGGCUCGGCGUGGAUGCACGAGCAAAGAAAAACAUCCACGUCGGAUGGGGGUAGGGGUGGGACCGAUGCUACACCCGUCGGAGCUCUUCCGCUCGGUAGCACCACAAUGAGGAAAUUCACAGUGGGACGCAAACACCAACAUAGGGCCAUGUCAAGCAGCCUGCCUCCAACCAACCUACCAGACAGCCAGAUCUGCCUGUAGGCAGGCAUCAGUGAGCCGACCGACCGUAAGUUACCUUGCAGUGGCCAACACCGCCUUGGUCGCGAUGGCAGACCUAACCCCAGCCAGCCGCGCGCCUGGCUAACCAUGGCUGCUGGCCCCCGGCUGAGAGACGGGUAUGCGGGAUGCAGGGGUAAAUCCAAACUCAAGAGUGACAGAUCUGAGCCUGGGCCGGCCAGAUCCGACCGCCCAUAGACAAGGAUGCAUCUCUAUGUUUGUUUCAAUGCGCAUAAAUAAUCAAUGAAUUGACCAAUAAAAACCGUGUGAAAGUACAAAACACGGCGAAACAUACACAUAGAACGGAAAUAUGGAAUGCAAACACGAGGACCCUAGUUUUCUCUCUUUUUUAUUAAAAUAUAAAAUAAAAUAAUUAGAGUUAGCUUAUAUAAGUCAUUGUUGGAGCAAUAGUUUAGUUUUUAGACAAACUAGAAGCCCGCCUCAAGAAAUAGACCUAUUAACCGAGACGGCCCACUUAGAAAGUCUGUCUAGGUUAAUAUGUUCGAGCCCACAAGAAAGCUCAUUCGGCCCAAACUCGGUCACAGUAUAUAUAGUGAAAAACCUAGCCCAUCUCGUCUCACUCCCUCACCUGCCCGUCGGACUCACUUACUCAUCUCCCCAUCGCCCUUCCACUCCACUCCUUCCCCUGGCGUCGCCCCCACCCCUCCCCUCUCCUCACCUCCCUGGCCCACCCCAUCACUUCCCCUCCCCUCCCUGGCCUGCCCCCUCCCCUCCCUUCACGACGACGCUCCUUCCCACCCUUCCCCGACGAUGCCCCCUCCCCUUCCUAGAGGCUGGCCAUGGCUGCAUGCGGGGCGGCCCGGCCCUUCCUGAUGGCGUGCACCACGGCCAUGGCCGCGACAGCUCGGGCACAGCGUCGCGGCUGUCCAAUCGCCUAGAGGCGUGGUGCCCUCAUGGCGCGACGACCUAGCACGCGACUUGCUAGGAUCAGCUAAACUCGUGCGUGGUAGUGCAUUGGCUGCGGCGGCCUCGUGUGCGAGCCCGGUGGUGGUGGCGACAUCCACACGCGCGGGCCUAGUCGACGCUUGACGGAUUGAGCUCCUACAACGUGAAUUGAACUCCUCCGACGCGAAUCAACCUUCCUCUAGCGCAGAGGAGCUAGAUCUGGUGACAGGGUGCGCGGAGGAGCCGGAUCCAGCUAUGGCGGCGCUCAGGGAGGCCUCCCUUGUCGGCGGGCAGAGAGCAGCUACAGCAGUAGCGACCCAUAGAUGGGCUCGGCGGUCCCGCGGAUGGGCUCAUUGGGCCUAUCCAUGGAUUUUUUUUUUUUUACUUUUUUCUUUUUUAUUAGAUUAACUGAGGCGGGCAGUAAAAUGCCUUGGAAAAUAUCUCUAUUUACUGUGACCUUUGAUCUGAGGCGUUUUGAUUGCCCACCUCAGUUAAUCCAAAAUGCCCACCUCGAAAAAGAAUUUAUGUAGUAGUGUGACCACCUUGGUUAAUGUCAACCGAGGUGUAUGAAAAUCCUACCUACCUUGGAGGCCUAUUUCAAAACGUCUCGCAAAAAGAUUUUUUUCUACUAGUGGGGACUCAGUUGGUAUUAACUCUAUAAACUCCUCUUGUGGUGUAUAUUUUUACAACCAUAUGAUCUCAAAUAAAAAAGUUUUAGCUACAAAGCUAUUGAUCUCGUCGAGUACUACAACUUCAGUAUAAAAUUAGUCUUCAUUGGACAUCAUAUAAGAAAAUUAUGAUUUUUUAACAGCAUAUCACUGUCGAUUUAAGCCAAAAACCGGCAGUGAUAACCCAAUAUCAUUGUCGGUUUAUACAAAUACCGUCAGUGAUGGGCCGGCACUAAAAUUCAGUUCCAUAGUAGUGUUUGUGUCUAUGUUUUGCCAUUUUUAUUUAUGGAUUUCUCUACUUAAGUGUGAAAAAAUAAUGUUAUGACUAGUUGUACUUUGAUUUUUGGUAUAUUUCCAUACUUGCCGUAUUGACAUAUCCUGGUUUUUGGAAAAUGUCGUAUCGCUUUAUCCAUAUCCAUUGGUCAAAGCCCCCACGCAUGAACUGUCCCUUCCUGGCAUCAUAUUUGCAGAAUUAUUUCAGUGCAUUGUUGCUCGCACGUACAACCUCUCAGGAUCUCUGAUUUCAAGAUACGUUGGGUACUACCAGAAAAUAAGUUAAUUAGCCAUGGUCCGGCCUUGCAAGCCAUGCCUGAAACAAACCAAUCAUAUCUCUUUGACCUCAAGAUAUGACAGAUCCGCUCGUCACAACUCCUUGAUCAUAUUGAUGAUCGAUCACUACUACUAAUAGUUGGCCGGCAGUCGUCAUGAACCACCUGGUUUGACCACCAAGUUCAGUUCGAUCGUCUCGCUAGCUUGCCACCGUGGUGAAUUAUUUUAGUUGUCCGUGGAUGUACUCGAAGGAAUGAUUAGAAUGCACAACACAGCAGGAUCCCUCUACUUUAUUCACGUACAAACAACUCUAGUUGCUGUAGUCUACCUACAGCAUAUCAAAAGCUACGAUUUGAUUUCAAGAUCGAAUACUAUAUACUAGCUAGUAUUAUAAAUAACAAGUUGGUCGUGUAUAUAUAUGCUUGUUUUUGCUACACUUAAGUAUAUCGUCAUCAGUUAUUAAUUACUAGGGCUUUAUUAUAUCCCUGCGCUCUCCGCCUAUAAAUAGUGCCCCCAACAAGCUGCAAACGAUCACAGGUUGCAGUGCCACAGUUCCAGGCAGCACAUCUGAGACAUAAGCUGCUACCUGCAGUCUGAGGAUCUACGCUAGCUAUCAAGCUAUCUGUUGUGCUGCGUAGGAGUACGACGUGGUAGCUAGCCAUGGUGAAGAAAGUGGCCGUGCUGGCGACGUUGCUGGCCCUCAACCUCCUUUUGUUUGGCUUCGCGGACGCAUGCAGAUAUGAUGGGGGUGGGAGCGGAGGCACCGGAGGGAGCGGUGGGAGCGGCACUGGCGGAGGUGGUAGUGGCAGUGGCGGCACCGGUGGAGGCGGCAGCGGAGGAGGUGGAAGCGGUGGAGGCGGCAGUGGAGGGGGUGGGAGCGGAGGCGCCGGAGGGAGCAGUGGGGGCGGCAGCAUUGGAGGUCGUAGUGGCGGACGUGGCAGCGGUGGAGGUGGAAGUGGAGCAGGUGGCAGCGGUGGAGGUGGCAGUGGAGCAGGUGGGAAUGGAGGAGGAGUGGGUGGGAGCGGUGGAGGCGGCAACGGAAGUGGUGGUAGCGGCAGCGGAGGUGGUGGUAGCGGAAGCGGAGGCGGCGGGGCACUCGAGCGUUGCCCCAUGGACACACUGAAGUUAGGCGUGUGCGCCAACGUGCUGAAUGGGCUGAUCAACGUGACCCUGGGGACGCCGCCCAAGAUGCCAUGCUGCACACUGAUCCAAGGGCUGGCAGACCUAGAGGCGGCGGUGUGCCUCUGCACGGCGCUCAGGGCCAACAUCCUGGGGAUUAACCUCAAUCUGCCCAUCAACCUCAGCCUCCUCGUCAACUACUGCGGCAAGGACGUCCCCUCGGGCUUCCAGUGCUCCUGAAGAGCCAUGAUCCAUCCAAUCAUGUCUCUCCAUCCAUCGUCGCCUCCUUCGAUUCCUCCGUCAUCGUCGAUCCAUGCACGCACGCUGUGCACCCGGCAGUGCUAAAUAAUAAUGAUGAUUUCUUUGCAAGAUGUACAAGCUACUCGUAGUAGACAUCAAUGUUCGUCCAUUGCUUCAAUUUGUUUUGUUUUGCUUUGCUUUGAUUGCUUUGGGUGUGUUUUUUCAUGAAUCUAACAUCAUGCAUGCAUACAUGCAGCGUGUCCACAAUGCUUCCUGUUAAGUUUGUCAUGGAUGGGAUCGAUGGUUGAUCGUGUCGAGAGGCCUUGCUGGACCUGACACGACGAUGAUCUCCAGCUGAAAAUAUAAAUACCAUUAUUACAGUGUGGUAAUUGUCAGUGUGAUUUGAUGGAUGAACGUUAGUAUUUGGCCUGAUGUUUAUAUGUGUACACUGUUACAUACAGAUGUAGAAAAGGUGGCAAAACUACAGAUACGUUACUACAAGGAGAAAGCGGGAACACCAUGACACACAGGCUGAAAGCUGGAACACCAUGACACACAGGCUCUUCGACAAUGACACAAGAGGGGUGAACGAUGCCAGAACGUAAUCAUCGUCAGCCAAAGUAGGAGCUUAAUCUGGCUUUCACCUAAGUCCUAUGUCAUAGAGGACUGCAUUGCCCUCACAGACCGAAGAGAGGAGGCAACUAGAGGCUAUUCAGCGACACUUCGGGAAGGAAAUCGUCGUCGCUUGCUCAGCCAAGAGCUGCACUGAGCUUUUGCCCAGUAACCUCUCCCAAGUGCACCUGCUGCAGACACCUCAAUGCCGCCACCACAUUGUCACUUCCACCAAGAACACAAGCAUGGGUGACGUUGACAAUCUAAAUGAACGGCGCUCUGCCCUCUCCGACAAGAGGCAUAGGGCGAGGGCGCUCGUGGACAUGCAGCCCACCGCUGGCUCACUCGCAGCCAAACUAUGUGCACCGCGUAUGCAUAUGUAGAAGAUGCACCGCUGCAUGGGCACCACUUGUGCCCAGAGCCCGAGCGGACAACUACAGCUCCCAUAGAUCCAGUCAUGCGGCUGUCGGGUCUAGGAAAAUGGAAAUCCAUGGGGACACCAUCCCGCCAUCGGCAUGCCCAUGGCCAGACUGCACGCCCCGGACCCCUGCACAUGUGCAUGAAGAAAAAAGAAUGUCGUACCAUAGCAAAGAAAAAAAUAGAUGCAGGGCAGGUUUGCCGCUAAGCUAUUUGUAUUUUUUCCGCUAUCACAACUUUCACGCUAUCAGGCGCUAUAGCGCUGUUAAAUUGCAUUUGCUAUGACAACUUGCGCCGCUAUUACGCGCUAUCGCGCCGCUAUGACAAAUCUUCUCAGUCUGACUCUCAAAACUUCAUGUUAGACUAGAUUAUCAUUUAUUAUUAGCAAUAUAAUUUGGUAUUUUGGACAAUUAAGAUUACAUGAACCAUGUUGAAAUGUCAUAUUGGUAUCUUGUUAUAUUAUCUAGACUUAUGGAAACAUAUUUUUAUUCAUCAAAAUUCAUAUUUAUCAUGUAUUUUUCAUCUAUUACUCGAGUUUUCAUGUAUUUUUUAUAAAAUAACUAUCAGUCAUAGUGCCGCUAUAGCAGCGCUUUAGCUACACAGCUGCUGAAAAAAGUUGCUGCUAUUUUAAACUUUGUACCAUAGAGCAGCUCCACCAGAUCAGAGGUGGAGCAAACGCCCGUCGGUAGGAUCCCAACGGGCGGAUGACACCGGAGCGGCUCGGCGUGGAUGCACGAGCAAAGAAAAACAUCCACGUCGGAUGGGGGUAUGGGGUGGGACCGAUGCUACACCCGUCGGAGCUCUUCCGCUCGGCAGCACCGCAAUGAGGAAAUUCACAGUGGGACGCAAGCACCAGCACAGGGCCAUGUCGAGCAGCCUGCCUCUAACCAACCUACCAAACAGCCAGAUCUGCCCGUAGGCAGACAUCAGUGAGCCGACCGACCGUAAGUUACCUCCUUGCAGUGGCCAACACCGCCUUGGUCAAUCGCGAUGGCUAGCCAUGGUCUAGGUAGACCUAACCCCAGCCAGCCGCGCGCCUGGCUAGCCAUGGCUGCUUGCGCCCGGCUGAGAGACGGGUAUGCGGGAUGCAGGGGCAAAUCCAAACUCAAGAGUGACAGAUCUGAGUCAGGGCCGGCCAGAUCCGACCGCCCAUAGACAAGGAUGCAUCUCUAUGUUUGUUUGAAUGCGCAUAAAUAAUCAAUGAAUUGACCAAUAAAAACCAUAUGGAAGUACAAAACACGGCAAAACAUACACAUGGAACGGAAAUAUGGAAUGCAAACAUGAGGACCCUAGUUUUCUUUUUUUUACUAAAAUAUAAAAAAAUAAUUAGAGCUAGCUUAUAUAAGUCAUUGUUGGAGCAAUAGUUUAGUUUUUAGACAAACUAGAAGCACGCCUCAAGGAAUAGACCUAUUAACCGAGGCGGCCCACUUAGAAAUUCUGUCUCGGUUAAUAUGUUCGAGCCCACGAGAAAGCCCAUUCGGCGCAAACUCGGUCACAGUAUAUAUAGUCAAAAACCUAGCACAUCUCGUCUCACUCCCCCACCUGCCCGUCCGACUCCCUCACUCAUCUCCCCAUCGCCCCUCCACUCCACUCCUUCCCCUGGCGUCGCCCCCACCCCACCCCUCUCCUCACCUCCCUAGCCCACCCCAUCACUUCCCCUCCCCUCCCUAGCCUGCCCCCUUCCCUCCCUUCCCAACGACGCUCCCGACAACCCUUCCUCGGCGAUGCCCCCUCCCCUUCCUAGAGGCUGGCCAUGGCUGCAUGCGGGGCGGCCCAGCCCUUCCUGAUGGCGUGCACCACGGCCAUGGCCGCGACAGCUCGGGCACAGCGUCGCGGCGGUCCAAUCGCCUAGAGGCGUGCUGCCCUCAUGCCGCAGUGACCUAGCACGCGACUUGCCAGGAUCAGCCAAACUCGUGCGUGGUAGUGCAUUGGCGGCGUCGGCCUCAUGUGCUUGCCCGGUGGAGGUGGCCACAUCCACACGCGCGGGCCUAGUGGACGCUUGGCGGAUUGAGCUCCUACGACGCGAACCAACCUUCCUCUAGCGCAGAGGAGCCAGAUUUAGUGACAGGGUGCGCGGAGGAGCCGGAUCCAGCUAUGGCGCCGCUCAAGGAGGCCUCCCUCGUUGGCGGGCCAGAGAGCAGCUACGGCAGUACGUAGCGACCCAUAGAUGGGCUCGGCAGUCCCGCGGAUGGGCUCAUUGGUCCUAUCCAUGGAUUUUUUUUUGACUUUUUUCUUUUUUAUUAGAUUAACUGAGGCGGGCAGUAAAAUGCCUUGGAAAAUAUCUCUAUUUACCGUGACCUUUGAUCUGAGGCGUUUUGAUUGCCCACCUCAGUUAAUCCAAAAUGCCCACCUCGGAAAAGAAUUUAUGUAGUAGUGUGACCACCUUGGUUAAUGUCAACCGAGGUGUAUGAAAAUCCUACCCACCUCGGAAACCUAUUUCAAAACGUCUCGCAAAAAGGAUUUUUUGUACUAGUGGGGAAUCAUUUGGUAUUAACUCUAUAAACUCCUCUUGUGGUGUAUAUUUUUACAACCAUACGAUCUCAAAUAAAAAAGUUUGAGCUACAAAGCUAUUGAUCUCGUCGAGUACUACAACUUUAGUAAAAAAUUAGUCUUCAUGGGACAUCAUAUAAGAAAGUUAUGAUUUUUUUACAGCACGUCACUGUCGGUUUAAGCCAAAAACCGACAGUGAUGACCCAAUAUCAAUGUCGGUUUAUACAAAAACCGUCACAGAUGGGCCGGCACUGAAAUUCAGCUCCAUAGUAGUGUUUGUGUCUAUGUUUUGCCAUUUUGAUUUAUUGAUUUCUCUACUUAAGUGUGAGAAAUUAAUGUUAUGACUAGUUGUACUUUGAUUUUUGGUAUAUUUCCAUACUUGCCGUAUUGACAUAUCCUGGUUUUUGGAAAAUGUCGUAUCGCUUUAUCCGUAUCCAUUGGUCAAAGCCCCCACGCAUGAACUGUCCCUUCUUGGCAUCAUAUUUGCAGAAUUAUUUCAGUGCAUUGUUGCUCGCACGUACAACCUCUCAGGAUCUCUGAUUUCAAGAUCCGUUGGGUACUACCAGAAAAUAAGUUAGCCAUGGUCCGGCCUUGCAAGCCAUGCCUGAAACAAACCAAUCAUAUCUCUUUGACCUGAAGAUAUGACAGAUCCGCUCCUCACACCUCCUUGAUCAUAUUGAACCACCUGGUUUGACCACCACCAAGUUGAGUUUGAUCGUCUCCCUAGCUCGCCACCGUGGUGAAUUAUAUAUUUUAGUUGUCCGUGGAUGUACUCGCAGGAAUGAUUAGAAUGCACAACACAGCAGGAUCCCUCUACUUUAUUCACGUACAAACAACUCUAGUUGCUGUAGUCUACCUACAGCAUAUCAAAAGCUACGAUUUGAUUUCAAGAUCGAAUACUAUAUACUAGCUAGUAUUAUAAAUAACAAGUUGGUCGUGUAUAUAUAUAUAUGCUUGGUUUUGCUACACUUAAGUAUAUCGUCAUCAGUUAUUAAUUACUAGGGCUUUAUUAUAUCCCUGCGCUCUCCGCCUAUAAAUAGUGCCCCCAACAAGCUGCAAACGAUCACAGGUUGCAGUGCCAUAGUUCCAGGCAGCAGAUCUGAGACAUAAGCUCUAGCUACCUGCGGUCUGAGGAUCUACGCUAGCUAUCAAGCUAUCAGUUGUGCUGCGUAGGAGUACGACGUGGUAGCUAGCCAUGGUGAAGAAAGUGGCCGUGCUGGCGACGUUGCUGGCCCUCAACCUCCUUUUGUUUGGCUUCGCGGACGCAUGCGGAUAUGAUGGGGGUGGGAGCGGAGGCACCGGAGGGAGCGGUGGGGGCGGCACUGGCGGAGG
rnacentral:lncRNA from 1 species